rnacentral:rRNA from 1 species
UAGUCUGGUGCCAGCAGCCGCGGUAAGACGGAGGAUGCAAGUGUUAUCCGGAAUCACUGGGCGUAAAGCGUCUGUAGGUGGUUUAGUAAGUCUAUUGUUAAAUCUUGAGGCUCAACUUCAAAUCAGCGAUGGAAACUGCUAGACUAGAGUGUGGUAGAGGUAAGAGGAAUUUCCAGUGGAGCGGUGAAAUGCGUAGAUAUUGGAAAGAACACCGAUGGCGAAGGCAUCUUACUGGGCCAUAACUGACACUCAGAGACGAAAGCUAGGGUAGCAAAUGGGAUUAGAUACCCCAGUAGUCCUAGCAGUAAACGAUGGAUACUAGAUGUUGCCCGUAUCAACCCGUGCAGUGUCAAAGCUAACGCGUUAAGUAUCCCGCCUGGGAAGUAUGCACGCAAGUGUGAAACUCAAAGGAAUUGACGGGGGCCCGCACAAGCGGUGGAGCAUGUGGUUUAAUUUGAUGCAACGCGAAGAACCUUACCAGGGUUUGACAUGACAUGAAUUUUUCUGAGAAGAAAAAGUGCCUUUUAGGAACAUGUACACAGGUGG